rnacentral:rRNA from 1 species
UGGGGAAUAUUGCACAAUGGGCGCAAGCCUGAUGCAGCCAUGCCGCGUGUAUGAAGAAGGCCUUCGGGUUGUAAAGUACUUUCAGCGGGGAGGAAGGCGAUGGGGUUAAUAACCUUGUCGAUUGACGUUACCCGCAGAAGAAGCACCGGCUAACUCCGUGCCAGCAGCCGCGGUAAUACGGAGGGUGCAAGCGUUAAUCGGAAUUACUGGGCGUAAAGCGCACGCAGGCGGUCUGUUAAGUCAGAUGUGAAAUCCCCGGGCUUAACCUGGGAACUGCAUUUGAAACUGGCAGGCUUGAGUCUUGUAGAGGGGGGUAGAAUUCCAGGUGUAGCGGUGAAAUGCGUAGAGAUCUGGAGGAAUACCGGUGGCGAAGGCGGCCCCCUGGACAAAGACUGACGCUCAGGUGCGAAAGCGUGGGGAGCAAACAGGAUUAGAUACCCU